rnacentral:rRNA from 1 species
AGAGUUUGAUCCUGGCUCAGGAUGAACGCUAGCGGCAGGCCUAACACAUGCAAGUCGAGGGGGAGGUUACUUUCGGGUGACUGAGACCGGCGUACGGGUGCGUAACGCGUAUACAAUCUGCCUUUCACUGGGGGAUAGCCCGAAGAAAUUUGGAUUAAUACCCCAUAGUAUAGUAGUGUGGCAUCACACAACUAUUAAAGCCUUGGUGGUGAAAGAUGAGUAUGCGUUCUAUUAGCUAGUUGGAGAGGUAACGGCUCCCCAAGGCGAUGAUAGAUAGGGGUUCUGAGAGGGAUGUCCCCCACACUGGUACUGAGAUACGGACCAGACUCCUACGGGAGGCAGCAGUGAGGAAUAUUGGACAAUGGUCGGAAGACUGAUCCAGCCAUGCCGCGUGCAGGAUGAAGGUCUUAUGGAUUGUAAACUGCUUUUGUAAGGGAAGAAUAAGGAGUACGUGUACUUUGAUGACGGUACCUUAUGAAUAAGCAUCGGCUAACUCCGUGCCAGCAGCCGCGGUAAUACGGAGGAUGCGAGCGUUAUCCGGAAUCAUUGGGUUUAAAGGGUCUGUAGGCGGGCUGGUAAGUCAGAGGUGAAAGCGCUUAGCUCAACUAAGCAACUGCCUUUGAAACUGUUGGUCUUGAAUGGUUGUGAAGUAGUUGGAAUGUGUAGUGUAGCGGUGAAAUGCUUAGAUAUUACACAGAACACCGAUAGCGAAGGCAUAUUACUAACAAUUGAUUGACGCUGAUGGACGAAAGCGUGGGGAGCGAACAGGAUUAGAUACCCUGGUAGUCCACGCU